rnacentral:rRNA from 1 species
UACAGAGGUCCCAAGCGUUGUUCGGAAUUACUGGGCGUAAAGCGCGCGUAGGCGGACCUGCAAGUCGGGGGUGAAAGCCCGAGGCUCAACCUCGGAACUGCCUUCGAUACUGCGGGUCUCGAGUCCGGGAGAGGUGAGUGGAAUUCCUAGUGUAGAGGUGAAAUUCGUAGAUAUUAGGAAGAACACCAGUGGCGAAGGCGGCUCACUGGCCCGGUACUGACGCUGAGGCGCGAAAGCGUGGGGAGCAAACAGGG